rnacentral:rRNA from 1 species
GGACAGUGUCUGGUGGGUAGUUUGACUGGGGCGGUCUCCUCCUAAAGAGUAACGGAGGAGCACGAAGGUUGGCUAAUCCUGGUCGGACAUCAGGAGGUUAGUGCAAUGGCAUAAGCCAGCUUGACUGCGAGCGUGACGGCGCGAGCAGGUGCGAAAGCAGGUCAUAGUGAUCCGGUGGUUCUGAAUGGAAGGGCCAUCGCUCAACGGAUAAAAGGUACUCCGGGGAUAACAGGCUGAUACCGCCCAAGAGUUCAUAUCGACGGCGGUGUUUGGCACCUCGAUGUCGGCUCAUCACAUCCUGGGGCUGAAGUAGGUCCCAAGGGUAUGGCUGUUCGCCAUUUAAAGUGGUACGCGAGCUGGGUUUAGAACGUCGUGAGACAGUUCGGUCCCUA